rnacentral:rRNA from 1 species
CAGCAGUGAGGAAGGGGUGUCCGGUUAAUAGCGUGCAUCUUUGACGUUAGCUGCAGAAGAAGCACCGGCUAACUCCGUGCCAGCAGCCGCGGUAAUACGGAGGGUGCGAGCGUUAAUCGGAAUUACUGGGCGUAAAGACGCAUGCAGGUGGUUUGUUAAGUCAGAUGUGAAAGACCCGGGGCGUCAACCUACGGAAUUGCAUUUAGUAAACUAGGCAGACUAGAGUACUGUAGAGGGGGUAGGAAUUUCAGGUGUAGCGGUGAAAUGCGUAGAGAUCUGAAGGAAUACCGGUGGCGAAGGCGGCCCCCUGGACAGAUACUGACACUCAGAUGCGAAAGCGUGGGGAGCAAACAGGAUUAGAUACCCUGGUAG